GAUGAAGAACGCAGCGAAAUGCGAUACGUAGUGUGAAUUGCAGAAUUCAGUGAAUCAUCGAAUCUUUGAACGCACAUUGCACCUCUCGGUAUUCCGGGAGGUAUGCCUGUUCGAGCGUCAUUUGUACCCUCAAGCUCUGCUUGGUGUUGGGUGUUUGUUCCGCCUCUGUGUGUGAACUCGCCUCAAAACAAUUGGCAGCCGGCGUACUUGUUUCGGAGCGCAGCACAUUUUGCGAUCCAGAUCAACGUACAGCGGCAUCCAAGAAGCCUUAUUUAACGCUCUUGACCUCGGAUCAGGUAGGGAUACCCGCUGAACCUAAGCAUAUCAAUAAGCGGAGGA
rnacentral:misc_RNA from 1 species